GGAGUUAGCCGGUGCUUCUUCUGCGAGUAACGUCACAGAUGUAAGGUAUUAACUUACACCCUUUCCUCCUCGCUGAAAGUGCUUUACAACCCGAAGGCCUUCUUCACACACGCGGCAUGGCUGCAUCAGGGUUUCCCCCAUUGUGCAAUAUUCCCCACUGCUGCCUCCCGUAGGAGUCUGGGCCGUGUCUCAGUCCCAGUGUGGCUGAUCAUCCUCUCAGACCAGCUAGGGAUCGUCGCCUAGGUGAGCCUUUACCUCACCUACUAGCUAAUCCCACCUGGGCUUAUCCAUCAGCGCAAGGCCCGAAGGUCCCCUGCUUUCCCCCGUAGGGCGUAUGCGGUAUUAGCAGUCGUUUCCAACUGUUAUCCCCCACAAAUGGGCAAAUUCCCAGGCAUUACUCACCCGUCCGCCGCUCGUCAUCUUCAAAAGCAAGCUUUUGAAAUGUUACCGCUCGACUUGCAUGUGUUAGGCCUGCCGCCAGCGUUCAAUCUGAGCCAGGAAUCGAAACCCUCGACGUACGUAGCGGCGGUCGGUCGGACGGACGGCGACGUAG
rnacentral:rRNA from 1 species